GACGAACGCUGGCGGCGUGCUUAACACAUGCAAGUCGAACGGAAAGGCCCUGCUUUUGUGGGUUUCUCGAUUGGCGCGCGGGUGAGUAACACGUGAGUAACCUCCCCUUGACUUUGGGAUAACUUCAGGAAACUGGGGCUAAUACCGGAUAUGAGCUCCUGCUCCAUGGUGGGGGUUGGAAAGUUUCGGCGGUUGGGGCUGGACUCGCGGCUUAUGAGCUUGUUGGUGGGGUAGUGGCUUACCAAGGCUGUGACGGGUAGCCGGCCUGAGAGCGUGAACGGGGACAUGGGGACUGAGAGAGGGACCAGAAGCCUAAGGGACGCAGCAGGGGAGAGUAUGGCACAAUGGGCGGAAGCCUGAUGCAGAAACGCUGCGUGCGGGAUGACGGGUUUUGGGGUGUAAACAGAUGUGGCCGGUGACGAAGAGGGAGUGACGGUAAUGGGUAAAGAAGCACCGGCUAACUACGUG
rnacentral:rRNA from 1 species